rnacentral:lncRNA from 1 species
AGCUCCUCCCUGGCCCUCUCCGCCUAGCUGGGCCUGGAAUCUCGAGCAACCCAGGACCUAUGAAGGGGGCUCUCAGGCCAGGUGGCUCUGGGUGUGAGGCCAGGGCCACCCUGCAGGGGACCAGCCUCAGUUAUCAGUGGUGCUGGAGGAAGUGCAGGUAGAGGGAUGGUUGCCCUGGCAACGGGAGGACUCCCCAAGAAAGAAGAAGUGGAGUGGGAAGGGGCAGCUGAAGACUGGGGCUCCAGGGCCAUCUGCGCUGCCAGGUGGACACCCAGCUUAAGGCUGGACCUGCUCACCUUCAGGGAAAGGGGGGCAGCCCCAGGAGAGAGCUUGUCUGUCCCCAGGCAGCCACCUGAGGAGGGUGCCGUCCCUCCUCUGCCCCCAGUAAGGCCAGGAGAGAGGGUUAUAGAAAGGGAGUAGGUGCCAGGCCUUGGGGCUCUGCAGGUGGAGGGCCACCGCCUCGCCACCUGAGCAGUACGGGCCUCCGGCCUGUGCUGACCUGAGCACCUGGAACAGCAAGGGGCAGGAGGCCAGAGUCCUGCUCCUCAGGGCCGCAUCCUCCUGACUUGAACAGGACACCAGCACUUCCAGAGUGAUAUGCCUUCAGGGCCCUGUGGCUUGGAGACCACGGGAGACAUGAGAGGUCCCUAGAAUGACUGACGGCAGCUGGUAAUGCUGGGACCCUGAUGCCCCCAUGGCUCCGAGGCCUCCCACCUGAGCAGAUCCCUGUACCUGGAGCCGGGUGGAGGGGCGGGUCCCCGAAGAGGACCUGGAAGUAGUCUCUGGCUUAAGCCACGGUAUAGUAGUGACUGCCUGGAAGACAGGGCUCUGAACCACUCCAGUCCCCUCCCAGAGACCAUGUGACUCAGGGCUCAGAGUGGGGCAGGGCAUCUGCAGCAGCCCUGUGGGCCUGUGUGGAGGCUGUGGGCUUGUGGACACUCUGGCCGGGCCUGCGCUCGUUCAGGAGGCAGAGUGGGGCCUCCAGUGGGCCCCAACUGGCCGGGCGGUGGUUGAAGACUGGAGGAUCGCAGCACCUAAGGACCUGGCCCUGGCCUGCAGCUGUCACAGGCAGAUGCUCCUCUGUCCUUGCCUAGCAGGAGCCUCUGUGCCACUCUCCUGCCACAGUGCAC